rnacentral:rRNA from 1 species
CAGCCGCCGCGGUAAUACGUAGGGGGCAAGCGUUGUCCGGAAUUAUUGGGCGUAAAGCGCGCGCAGGCGGUCGGGUAAGUCUGAUGUUAAAGCCCGGGGCUCAACCCCGGUUCGCAUUGGAAACUGCUCGACUUGAGUGCAGAAGAGGAAAGCGGAAUUCCACGUGUAGCGGUGAAAUGCGUAGAGAUGUGGAGGAACACCAGUGGCGAAGGCGGCUUUCUGGUCUGUAACUGACGCUGAGGCGCGAAAGCGUGGGGAGCAAACAGGAUUAGAUACCCUGGUAGUCCACGCCGUAAACGAUGAGUGCUAGGUGUUGGGGGUUUCAACACCCUCAGUGCCGCAGCUAACGCAAUAAGCACUCCGCCUGGGGAGUACGCUCGCAAGAGUGAAACUUAAAGGAAUUGGCGGG